GACGAACGCUGGCGGCAUGCCUAAUACAUGCAAGUCGGGCGAACAGAUGAAGUGCUUGCACUUCUGACGUUAGCGGCGAACGGGUGAGUAACACGUAAGGAAUCUACCUAUAAGCGGGGGAUAACAUUCGGAAACGGGUGCUAAUACCGCAUAAUAUCUUCUUCCGCAUGGAAGAAGAUUGAAAGACGGCUCUGCUGUCACUUAUAGAUGACCUUGCGGUGCAUUAGUUAGUUGGUGGGGUAAUGGCCUACCAAGACGAUGAUGCAUAGCCGACCUGAGAGGGUGAUCGGCCACAUUGGGACUGAGACACGGCCCAAACUCCUACGGGGGGCAGCAGUAGGGAAUCUUCCGCAAUGGGCGAAAGCCUGACGGAGCAAUGCCGCGUGAGUGAAGAAGGCCUUCGGGUCGUAAAACUCUGUUAUAAGAGAAGAACAAAUUGUAGAGUAACUGCUACAGUCUUGACGGUAUCUUAUCAGGAAGCCACGGCUAACUACGUGCCAGCCGCCGCCGUAA
rnacentral:rRNA from 1 species